AACGAACGCUGGCGGCGUGCCUAACACAUGCAAGUCGAACGAGAAAGUCCUUCGGGAUGAGUAGAGUGGCGCACGGGUGAGUAACACAUGAGAAUCGUGACUAAUAGUGGUGGAUAACUGCGGGAAACUGCAGCUAAUACAGCAUAGUGUCUAAGGACGAAAGGGGGCCCCUUAAAAGGCUCUUGCUAAUAGAUCGGCCCAUGUCCCAUUAGCUAGAUGGCGGGGUAAAAGCCCACCAAGGUGACGAUGGGUAGCUGGUCUGAGAGGAUGAUCAGCCACACUGGAACUGAGACACGGUCCAGACUCCUACGGGAGGCAGCAGUGGGGAAUUUUGCACAAUGGGGGAAACCCUGAUGCAGCAACGCCGCGUGAGUGAAGAAGGCCCUUGGGUUGUAAAGCUCUUUCGGCCGGGAAAAAGGAUCUACGUACUAAUACCCCGUAGGUUUGAUGGUACCGGAAGAAGAAGCACCUGCUAACUACGUGCCAGCCGCCGCGGUAA
rnacentral:rRNA from 1 species